rnacentral:rRNA from 1 species
AUGAAGCUCAGAUCAGGCAUUUUUACCGUGGCCAUGCUCGCCAUUGCCGUGCUCUCCUCCCCAGCAUUCGCACAGAAGACGAAGAGCCCCCCUGCUCCGCCGGCAGCCGUCCUCCCACCGUCCCCAGCACCAGCACCAGCGCCGCGCCACGUGGACCUCGCGGACCUCCUGAGCGUGGCCGGCCCGUUCCACACCUUCCUGGACUACCUCCAGAAGACCAACGUCCUGGAGACUUUCCAGAGCAAGGCGAACGACACCAAGGAGGGGAUCACCAUGUUCGUGCCCAAGGACUCGGCGUUCGCGGCGCUGAGGACGACGACGUUCGCCAACCUCACCAGCGACCAGCUCAAGUCGCUGAUGCUGUACCACGCGCUGCCCAAGUACUACUCGCUGGCCGAGUUCAACAAGCUGAGCAGCCUCAACCCGGUGGCCACCUUCGCGGGGUCGCAGUACACGCUCAACCUCACCGACAACAUGGGCAGCAUCCGGAUCAAGUCCAUGUGGUCCAACCCCAAGAUCAGCAGCAGCGUCUACUCCACCCGCCCGGUCGCCGUCUACGAGGUCGACAAGGUGCUGCUGCCGAUGCAGAUCUUCAAGAGCGACCCGCCGCUGGCCCCUGCCCCCGCGCCCGCCCCCGCCGACGCCAAGACCUCUGAUGACGCGCCUAGCCCGGCGUCGGGGAAGUCAGCGAGCGCGAAGGCCAAGGCGGGGUCCAAGAGCGCGUCGCCCCGCGCCGGCGUCAGUGUGGCCAGUUACCUGGCGGUGGCUGUCUCCGGUGGCCUGAUGAUGCUCUUGUGA